UGAGUCGGCCGGGUGAUCGCGGCGAAUGAACCGCCCGCGUGAUGCGGGCAGGCAGGAGCCGAGGAAAGUCCGGACUCCGAAGAGCACGGUGGUUGCUAACGGCAACCCGGGGUGACCCGCGGGCAUGUGCAACAGAGAGUAGACCGCCCGGUUUUUGACCGGGUAAGGGUGAAAGGGUGCGGUAAGAGCGCACCGGCGUGGCAGGUGACUGCCGCGGCCAGGUAAACCCCACCGGGAGCAAGGCAUCACGGCCUGCCACACGGCAGGCCCGAUCAGGUGUUGGAGGGCUGCUCGCCCGAGCCUGAAGGUAGCUGCUUGAGGCGCCCAGCGAUGGGUGGCCCAGAUGGAUGAUCACCGCCGCCAGCGGCACAGAAUCCGGCUUAUACGCCGGCUCAUUCG
rnacentral:RNase_P_RNA from 2 species